rnacentral:misc_RNA from 1 species
AGUCGUAACAAGGUCUCCGUUGGUGAACCAGCGGAGGGAUCAUUACAGAGUUGCAAAACUCCCUAAACCAUUGUGAACGUUACCUAAACCGUUGCUUCGGCGGGCGGCCCCGGGGUUUACCCCCCGGGCGCCCCUGGGCCCCACCGCGGGCGCCCGCCGGAGGUCACCAAACUCUUGAUAAUUUAUGGCCUCUCUGAGUCUUCUGUACUGAAUAAGUCAAAACUUUCAACAACGGAUCUCUUGGUUCUGGCAUCGAUGAAGAACGCAGCGAAAUGCGAUAAGUAAUGUGAAUUGCAGAAUUCAGUGAAUCAUCGAAUCUUUGAACGCACAUUGCGCCCGCCAGUAUUCUGGCGGGCAUGCCUGUUCGAGCGUCAUUUCAACCAUCAAGCCCCCCGGGCUUGUGUUGGGGACCUGCGGCUGCCGCAGGCCCUGAAAAGCAGUGGCGGGCUCGCUGUCACACCGAGCGUAGUAGCAUACAUCUCGCUCUGGGCGUGCUGCGGGUUCCGGCCGUUAAACCACCUUUUAACCCAAGGUUGACCUCGGAUCAGGUAGGAAGACCCGCUGAACUUAAGCAUAUCAAUAAGCGGAGGAA